GACGAACGCUGGCGGCGUGCUUAACACAUGCAAGUCGAACGGAAAGGCCCUGCUUUUGUGGGGUGCUCGAGUGGCGAACGGGUGAGUAACACGUGAGUAACCUGCCCUUGACUUUGGGAUAACUUCAGGAAACUGGGGCUAAUACCGGAUAGGAUCUCCUGCUCCAUGGUGUGGGUUGGAGAGUUUCGGCGGUUGGGGAUGGACUCGCGGCUUCUCAGCUUGUUGGUGGGGUAGUGGCUUACCAAGGCUUUGACGGGUAGCCGGCCUGAGAGGGUGACCGGCCACAUUGGGACUGAGAGACGGCCCAGACUGGUACGGGAGGCAGCAGUGGGGAAUAUUGCACAAUGGGCGGAAGCCUGAUGCAGCAACGCCGCGUGCGGGAUGACGGCUUUCGGGUUGUAAACCGCUUUCGCCGGUGACGAAGAGUGAGUGACGGUAAUGGGUAAAGAAGCACCGGCUAACUACGUG
rnacentral:rRNA from 1 species